CACUGAUGCCAGCUCUUGUGUGAGCUCACGUUUUUCAGUGAAACCUUGAACUACAGAAUACUCCACAACUGAGUUGAGACUUUGACAUCACAGCUUUCAUGAGGAAUUAUUUACCUUACCUUUCAACUACAUGUCCAGGUUCCGAGAGUUGCGCGCGACACGAUUCACAGUGCUUUGUUCUUGAACUGCUUUUUCUUGUUUGGGCGCCAAUCUGAAGCAGAGUCUCGAAAAAAAAAACCUGUGACCGCACACCGUGACCCUGUGACUGCACACAGGAGAGACUGGGGAAGUGUAGGCAGACCCAUCUUCUGGCCACUUGUUUUUUAACACCUCACUGGCACUGCCAUCCCAUACCGAAGGUCCGGCCCCAACUGCGGGACAAGCACAUUUCGCCAUGACAUCACUGCUGGCUGUGGAAUCCCAGUCGCAGCUGACGGGUGUCAUGAUCCAGACUUGAACUACAUUGAACAAUAUGCGUGAAGAGGGAUCCACGGCCGAAACGUUGUGUUUUCUUUCUUCUCUUUUCAGCAUGGAAUAAACCUAUUACUUGUUCCUUAAUAUCUAAAUACGACAAGAAUGAAAAGAAUGGGACUACGCUCUGAGAACAAAGGAAUUCUGUGUGGAGCUGUUUCUUUUGUUAAUUCCAACAAACAUCUAUAGAAUCUCUAACCUAGUUACUCCAACUGUAGACAGUUACAGUUUUUACAGUAGCUGAACUAUGGAGAAUUGUAAUGUUAAUUUUGGGAAUACUGAGCAGUGUUGUAGCUGUGUUACAAGAUGUUACACUCUUACAUUUCAAAAACUGCUUUUAAAUAAAAUUAAAAUUUGAAUUGGUUGUUUUACAUAAUGCAGCCUUUUAUAAAAAAAAUUUUUGGGGGGGGUAGUUUUUUAAUGUUUUUCUAAUCGUUUUCAUGAUUUUUUUUUCAUUGGCUUACUGUUAUGAAAAGUGCUCAAUGCAAGUAAUUUUUUUUUCAAAGAAAAACAAUAUUGUUUUCACGUAAGUAUGGAUGUAGCCCAUGUGUAUCUAUCUUAAAACACGGUAAAUGUCAUUUUGUAUAUUUAGUAUGUGAAAUAUAAAAAUGUGAAUCUCAAUGCUAGUCAAUCUUUUCAUUCACCUACAUUUUUCUAAAGUAACAGGGGAUAAAGAACACCUAUUUUCCCAGCACACAUAAUGCCAAUUAAUAAUUCGUAUGCUAUGAGGUCAAACUGAAACAUUUCUUUCGAAAGUGGUUAAAUUACAUAGUGCAAGAGAAAAGCCCGUUCCUGUGCCAGAACACUUCGAAUAAUGUGACCAAUAUAUUCACUCAAGAUGGAAAUCCCACGCUGCUUAGAAGAACAAUUGUGUGCAUUUGCAUGAUAAAAGGCUUUGCAAAUGCUUUCACCCUUUAACCUGAUGUCUGUCUUGGCCCACAAAACAGAACAACAAGCUUGCAGCAUUCAGACUGUGGGUUCAAUUGUCCAUCUCUACCACUCUGUCUUCCCGUCCAUACCUGAACUUGGACUUGGACUUGUGAAGAUUAAUUAUUCGACUUAUAAUCACAUGAUAUCAGUUUGCUAAUGGCUAAGUCCCAUAGUGCUUGAAAAGUCAGAAAGGUCAAUUUUAAGUCGAUAAAGUAUUCCCAUUUACUGUUGCAUUCCCAUAAAAUGUCUUAUUGUUUUACACGUGUAGCACCUUAAACACAACUCAGUUGUAUUCUUUGUUGUUUUUCAAGGUUCAUUGUAAUUUGGUAACUUAAAACCAAUGUAAACCUUGAAACAGGUAACUUAAACCAGGGCUUUAACAUUUUUAACAGUAAAACUGAAGCUGUCGAAUAGCACACAGUCAGAUUUUAUAUAUUUUCAGAUAGUAACAAAGGAACAUUUUGGCCAAUUUAUUAAUGAAGAUUGCUUUAUAGCUCUGAUUAUAUUGACCAGAUUACCUCAAAAUUCAGAAUGUAUCGAGUUUUGUACAUUAACUAAAAUCCUGUGGUAUUUCUGCUCAUUUAUGAUCCCAACUAUUUUGCGAAAGAGCCAAUAAAAACAUCUUUAAAAGUCCCAUGCCUUUAAUGUUUUCAACUGAUGGUGUUUCUUUAUUUUAACUGUGAAAAUAUGUUGCACAUGCACCAUUAUGAAGCAAUAAAAUCAGAAAAUCAAGCCUUCCAGUUUUGACCAUUUUGCAGGUUGUGCUUUAAUUUAAUUUAGAAAAGAAAAGCCCAACGCAAUGUGGAAUAAGUGAACUGAAAUAGACAAAACAACAACAAAGUAUUAGUGCUUACGAGGAUCCCAAAAGAGUGAAUUUAUUUACCGGAGCAAUGAGUUACAUCAUUUCUUGUUGGGCACUUUCUGUUUGUUCCCCUGUAUAUCAUUAAAAUUAUUUUUAUUCUUCUGAGAAGAAUUUGGCUCCACAUUUCCAGCAUCGUUCAAGGACCCUACAACUUUUAUUUAAAAAAAAACUCCAAAUGUUGCUUGAGUGACAGGUUUUAAAAUAAGGGUUGACAUGCAGAGCUAUUUCACAUCUCCUCUAAUUGCAUUGCCUCAAACAUCCUUACAUUAGUUUAUACUGGAGUGCAUAAGCUAUUUUUGGUAGAAGGACAGCCUGUUGAUUAUAAAUCCAGAACAUUAUCAAAGGUGAAAAUACAGUAAGACUGCAUUAAAAACAUGUUUGACAAAGAGAGAACAGGGAAUACAACAAGGCUUUAUACCAUGGUAAAUCUGAGACAUACAGGCACAAAAAAGGAGUCGACUACACUAUAUUAAAGUAUGCACUGCAGAGCAAAAAUAAUGUGUGUAUACAGAAGUUCAAAUACUUCACGUACUGUACUUAACCUGUCUGUUUUGCAAUCAUCCUUAGCUUACCGAAAGGUUCACUAAUGAUAUGAAAAAAUGUGAAUACAGCUACAAAUGUAAAUGUAUUCCACAAGAGUGGCUUAUUUUAACGAAACAGUAAAGAAACAAUAAUUAUUUUGUUCUCAAAAUGUACAUGCUCACAAAUAUAUCACUUUUGGUCCCACGAAUAAGAAAUGACAUUGUCAGUGCUUUUAAUUGGAGGUUGAGGUUUUAAAAAUAUUAGUACACAGCCUAAUUCAGAUACUGAUCAUUAGCAUCAAGAAAACGUAUGAGUAAUUGUGCAGGUACAGAAAGGUAAACAAUCGAGUCAAUUAAUACAACGAACAUUUAGCUCUGACUGACAGAGCAACACAAGGGUCACAUGAGAGAAAUGAAACAAUAAGAACAAUAUAGACAGUGUGGAUGCAGAGCAGUUAUGUAAACACCCUGUUGUUAUAUAAAACAUCCACCCAUC